rnacentral:rRNA from 1 species
AUGGACUACCCAUCCCGGUACAGCGGCUGCCCGUCGCUCCCCCUCCCAAAGAUCCACGCGUUCCUAAGUUCGUUCGUGCGUGAACUGGCUGGUGACCGGCCACCAGCGCAACAUCCUGCUCAUGCACUGCAACGGCACGGUGUAUGGGAGAGCGCUGGUGGAGCUGCUCAGUACUUGCUCGGCGCUCGAUCAGCGGUCGUCUCAUCUGAGGUAACUGCAGAAUGUGAUGAGUGCAUCCAUGUUGGUGAUGAAGUACAAGAGGAGAUCAUGUUCCGCGUCAUGUCCAGCACUUGCUUUCUGCUGUCUAACAUGACUGUUUUCUCUCUGACGGACAUUAAUCUGCCAUGA